AGUGAACGCUGGCGGCGUGCCUAAUACAUGCAAGUCGAACGGAGUGGCGCACGGGUGAGUAAUAUAUAGCUAAUCUGCCCCUUGCUGGAGGACAACAGUUAGAAAUGACUGCUAAUACUCCAUAGCAAGGGAUGAGACUAUAUCGUAUCAGCUAGUCGGUGGGGUAACGGCCUACCGAGGCUAUGACGCGUAACUGGUCUGAGAGGAUGAUCAGUGAAAUGGGAAGUGAGGCAGUGUAAAAACUCCUACGGGAGGCAGCAGUAGGGUAUAUUGCGCAAGGGGGGAAACCCUGAAGCAGUAACGCGGGGGGGAGAAUGACAGUUUGCGGAGCGAAAACUCUUUUUGGUAGGUAAGCUGGACAUAACGAAUAAGAACCGGCUAACCCCGUGCCAGCAGCCGCGGUAAUUG
rnacentral:rRNA from 1 species